GGUUAAGCGACUAAGCGUACACGGUGGAUGCCCUGGCAGUCAGAGGCGAUGAAGGACGUGCUAAUCUGCGAUAAGCGUCGGUAAGGUGAUAUGAACCGUUAUAACCGGCGAUUUCCGAAUGGGGAAACCCAGUGUGAUUCGUCACACUAUCAUUAACUGAAUCCAUAGGUUAAUGAGGCGAACCGGGGGAACUGAAACAUCUAAGUACCCCGAGGAAAAGAAAUCAACCGAGAUUCCCCCAGUAGCGGCGAGCGAACGGGGAGGAGCCCAGAGCCUGAAUCAGUGUGUGUGUUAGUGGAAGCGUCUGGAAAGGCGCGCGAUACAGGGUGACAGCCCCGUACACAAAAAUGCACAUGCUGUGAGCUCGAUGAGUAGGGCGGGACACGUGGUAUCCUGUCUGAAUAUGGGGGGACCAUCCUCCAAGGCUAAAUACUCCUGACUGACCGAUAGUGAACCAGUACCGUGAGGGAAAGGCGAAAAGAACCCCGGCGAGGGGAGUGAAAAAGAACCUGAAACCGUGUACGUACAAGCAGUGGGAGCCUCUUUAUGGGGUGACUGCGUACCUUUUGUAUAAUGGGUCAGCGACUUAUAUUCUGUAGCAAGGUUAACCGAAUAGGGGAGCCGAAGGGAAACCGAGUCUUAACUGGGCGUUAAGUUGCAGGGUAUAGACCCGAAACCCGGUGAUCUAGCCAUGGGCAGGUUGAAGGUUGGGUAACACUAACUGGAGGACCGAACCGACUAAUGUUGAAAAAUUAGCGGAUGACUUGUGGCUGGGGGUGAAAGGCCAAUCAAACCGGGAGAUAGCUGGUUCUCCCCGAAAGCUAUUUAGGUAGCGCCUCGUGAAUUCAUCUCCGGGGGUAGAGCACUGUUUCGGCAAGGGGGUCAUCCCGACUUACCAACCCGAUGCAAACUGCGAAUACCGGAGAAUGUUAUCACGGGAGACACACGGCGGGUGCUAACGUCCGUCGUGAAGAGGGAAACAACCCAGACCGCCAGCUAAGGUCCCAAAGUCAUGGUUAAGUGGGAAACGAUGUGGGAAGGCCCAGACAGCCAGGAUGUUGGCUUAGAAGCAGCCAUCAUUUAAAGAAAGCGUAAUAGCUCACUGGUCGAGUCGGCCUGCGCGGAAGAUGUAACGGGGCUAAACCAUGCACCGAAGCUGCGGCAGCGACACUAUGUGUUGUUGGGUAGGGGAGCGUUCUGUAAGCCUGUGAAGGUGUGCUGUGAGGCAUGCUGGAGGUAUCAGAAGUGCGAAUGCUGACAUAAGUAACGAUAAAGCGGGUGAAAAGCCCGCUCGCCGGAAGACCAAGGGUUCCUGUCCAACGUUAAUCGGGGCAGGGUGAGUCGACCCCUAAGGCGAGGCCGAAAGGCGUAGUCGAUGGGAAACAGGUUAAUAUUCCUGUACUUGGUGUUACUGCGAAGGGGGACGGAGAAGGCUAUGUUGGCCGGGCGACGGUUGUCCCGGUUUAAGCGUGUAGGCUGGUUUUCCAGGCAAAUCCGGAAAAUCAAGGCUGAGGCGUGAUGACGAGGCACUACGGUGCUGAAGCAACAAAUGCCCUGCUUCCAGGAAAAGCCUCUAAGCAUCAGGUAACAUCAAAUCGUACCCCAAACCGACACAGGUGGUCAGGUAGAGAAUACCAAGGCGCUUGAGAGAACUCGGGUGAAGGAACUAGGCAAAAUGGUGCCGUAACUUCGGGAGAAGGCACGCUGAUAUGUAGGUGAAGUCCCUCGCGGAUGGAGCUGAAAUCAGUCGAAGAUACCAGCUGGCUGCAACUGUUUAUUAAAAACACAGCACUGUGCAAACACGAAAGUGGACGUAUACGGUGUGACGCCUGCCCGGUGCCGGAAGGUUAAUUGAUGGGGUCAGCGCAAGCGAAGCUCUUGAUCGAAGCCCCGGUAAACGGCGGCCGUAACUAUAACGGUCCUAAGGUAGCGAAAUUCCUUGUCGGGUAAGUUCCGACCUGCACGAAUGGCGUAAUGAUGGCCAGGCUGUCUCCACCCGAGACUCAGUGAAAUUGAACUCGCUGUGAAGAUGCAGUGUACCCGCGGCAAGACGGAAAGACCCCGUGAACCUUUACUAUAGCUUGACACUGAACAUUGAGCCUUGAUGUGUAGGAUAGGUGGGAGGCUUUGAAGUGUGGACGCCAGUCUGCAUGGAGCCGACCUUGAAAUACCACCCUUUAAUGUUUGAUGUUCUAACGUUGACCCGUAAUCCGGGUUGCGGACAGUGUCUGGUGGGUAGUUUGACUGGGGCGGUCUCCUCCUAAAGAGUAACGGAGGAGCACGAAGGUUGGCUAAUCCUGGUCGGACAUCAGGAGGUUAGUGCAAUGGCAUAAGCCAGCUUGACUGCGAGCGUGACGGCGCGAGCAGGUGCGAAAGCAGGUCAUAGUGAUCCGGUGGUUCUGAAUGGAAGGGCCAUCGCUCAACGGAUAAAAGGUACUCCGGGGAUAACAGGCUGAUACCGCCCAAGAGUUCAUAUCGACGGCGGUGUUUGGCACCUCGAUGUCGGCUCAUCACAUCCUGGGGCUGAAGUAGGUCCCAAGGGUAUGGCUGUUCGCCAUUUAAAGUGGUACGCGAGCUGGGUUUAGAACGUCGUGAGACAGUUCGGUCCCUAUCUGCCGUGGGCGCUGGAGAACUGAGGGGGCUGCUCCUAGUACGAGAGGACCGGAGUGGACGCAUCACUGGUGUUCGGGUUGUCAUGCCAAUGGCACUGCCCGGUAGCUAAAUGCGGAAGAGAUAAGUGCUGAAAGCAUCUAAGCACGAAACUUGCCCCGAGAUGAGUUCUCCCUGACUCCUUGAGAGUCCUGAAGGAACGUUGAAGACGACGACGUUGAUAGGCCGGGUGUGUAAGCGCAGCGAUGCGUUGAGCUAACCGGUACUAAUGAACCGUGAGGCUUAACCUU
rnacentral:rRNA from 1 species